CUGUCGCUAGCCUUUGAAAGGUUGUGCACGCCCGAGUGCCCUCACACAUCCAUCUCACCCCUUUGUGCAUCACCGCGUGGGUCUCCUUUUGCAAAAGGAGCUCACGUUUUCACACAAAACUUGAUACAGUGUAGAAUGUUAUCUUUGCGGUCACACGCAAUCAAUACAACUUUCAACAACGGAUCUCUUGGCUCUCGCAUCGAUGAAGAACGCAGCGAAAUGCGAUACGUAAUGUGAAUUGCAGAAUUCAGUGAAUCAUCGAAUCUUUGAACGCACCUUGCGCCCCUUGGCAUUCCGAGGGGCACACCCGUUUGAGUGUCGUGAAAUCCUCAAAAUCCUUUUUGGGCUUACCGAAAAGGAUUUUUGGACUUGGAGGUUUAAUGCUUGCCUUUCACUUGUGAAAGUGAGCUCCUCUCAAAUGAAUUAGUGGGGUCUGCUUUGCCCGAUCCUUGACGUGAUAAGAUGUUUCUACGUUUUGGAUUUUGGCACUGUACUUUGGAUGCCUGCUUCUAACUGUCUCAUGGACAAUGGAUGGUGCUCUGGUCCCCUGCCUUCUAACGUUGGUGGGAGGCUGGACCCACGGAUGAAAACCUUGACCUCAAAUCGGGUGAGACUACCCGCUGAACUUAAGCAUAUCAAA
rnacentral:rRNA from 1 species